GCGGGCUUUUUGCUCCUUCUUCCUUCUCAAGUCAAAGAGGCGCGGCAGCCGCUCGGCCGGUCCCCAUGGUAGCCCCCUCUCCUCCCCGCCCAGCCCUGCUCCGCUGCCCCGGGACCGGGCAAGCUCCCCUCCGGGGCGGCCAGUCUACUCUACCCGCCCCUUUCGGCUGCCUCCGUAUUUCCGCGGCCGAGAGGGGGAGGAGGAGGAAGAAGAGGAGGAGGAGGAGGAGGAGGCGGGUAGCCGAGGAAGCCUGCACACCCACCGACGGAGCUGCUGGGGCUGGGGGAGCACAGAAAAGGCGGCGGCAGGUAUCCAGGUCCAGGGUCAUCUGUUUCUAUGGAGUCAGGAAAUAAGACUACCUCACUGUCUCCAGACCUACUCAGUGGCCACAGCUACUCAGUGUUCACGAAGCAAAGCUCCCCCUGAAUUCUUCAACUGGAAUUUUGUCUAGGUCAAGACUGCAGGAUUAUGUCCAGUAUCUGAAAAUAUUUGAAGCUGCCAUAUGGUUCGUUGUAGGGGGAAGCCCAGGAGAGACCACUGUUGCAGGAAUGGGUCUGGGAAAGCAGGUGGGAAGAAGAAACAAAAAUCCCUUAACUCUCUUGAUCCUAUUUUGUUUGUUGUAGCUCCCAAAACAGAUCAAUUUAAGAGCUAAUUAUUAGUGCUAAGAGAGAAGAAAACAAAAGUGCCAGGAAAGGACAGAGGUAUCCCGAGAUUAUGUUAUUUAGCCAGGAAUUCUGAGGCAAGAAUGUACUAGAGAAGUACCA